UACGAAGGGUGCAAACGUUGCUCGGAAUUAUUGGGCGUAAAGCGCACGUAGGCGGAUCUUUAAGUCAGGGGUGAAAUCCCAAGGCUCAACCUUGGAACUGCCUUUGAUACUGGGGAUCUCGAGUCCGGAAGAGGUUGGUGGAACUGCGAGUGUAGAGGUGAAAUUCGUAGAUAUUCGCAAGAACACCAGUGGCGAAGGCGGCCAACUGGUCCGGAACUGACGCUGAGGUGCGAAAGCGUGGGGAGCAAACAGG
rnacentral:rRNA from 1 species